GGGACGCCAUGCCUCCGAGAAAAGCCUCUAGGGAGAGUGCACGUGCCCGUACCAAAACCGACACAGGUGGGCAAGUAGAGAAUACUAAGGUGAUCGAGAUAACCAUCGUUAAGGAACUCGGCAAAAUCGCUCCGUAACUUCGGGAUAAGGAGCGCCCCAGUAAGGUGAAGCACCUCGCGUGCGGAGCCUGAGAGGGCCGCAGUGAAUAGGUUCAACCGACUGUUUACCAAAAACACAGGGCUCUGCUAAGUCGUAAGACGACGUAUAGGGUCUGACGCCUGCCCGGUGCCGGAAGGUUACGUGGAGGUGUUAGGGGUAACCCGAAGCACUGAAACUAAGCCCCGCUAAACGGCGGCGGUAACAAUAACCGUCCUAAGGUAGCGAAAUUCCUUGUCGGGUAAGUUCCGACCUGCACGAAUGGCGUAACGAGUUGAACGCUGUCUCAACGAUGGGCUCGGUGAAAUUGCAGUCUCGGUGAAGAUGCCGAGUACCCGUGGCUAGACGGAAAGACCCCGUGAACCUUUACUACAACCUGGUAUUGGAGUGCGGUGCAUCUCGCUCAGGAUAGGAGGGAGUCUUUGAAGCGCCGGCUGCGGCUGGCGUAGAGACAACCUUGAGAUACCUCCCUUGAUGUAUUGUGCUUCUAACACUGCGCCGUAAUCCGGGCAGUGAACAGUGCCAGGCGGGUAGUUUGACUGGGGCGGUCGCCUCCCAAAAUGUAACGGAGGCGCGCAAAGGUUCCCUCAGCACGGUUGGAAAUCGUGCGUAGAGUGCAAAAGCAGUAAGGGAGCUUGACUGUGAGACCGACAGGUCGAGCAGGUGCGAAAGCAGGCUUUAGUGAUCCGGCAGUAGCAAGUGGAAGUGCUGUCGCUCAACGGAUAAAAGGUACUCCGGGGAUAACAGGCUUAUCGAGUCCAAGAGUCCACAUCGACGACUCGGUUUGGCACCUCGAUGUCGGCUCGUCGCAUCCUGGGGCUGAAGUAGGUCCCAAGGGUUGGGCUGUUCGCCCAUUAAAGCGGUACGCGAGCUGGGUUCAGAACGUCGUGAGACAGUUCGGUCCCUAUCUGGGCGUUGGAGAAUUGAAAGGAUUCGUCCCUAGUACGAGAGGACCGGGAUGAACGCACCUCUGGUGUAUCUGUUGUCCUGCCAAGGGCAUCGCAGGUUAGCUACGUGCGGACCGGAUAACCGCUGAAGGCAUCUAAGCGGGAAGCCGACCUUGAGAUGAGUUCUCCCACCUCCUUGAGAGGGUAAGAUCCCUGGUAGACCACCAGGUUGAUAGGCCGGAUCUGGAAGAGCGGUAACGCUCGUAGGAGACCGGUACUAAUGGAUCGAGGGCUUGACGGA
rnacentral:rRNA from 1 species